ensembl:lncRNA
AUGUCCAGUUUGGGAGCAUCAAUAUUGCCUUUAGGGAGAUUUACAUCCAUACCUGGGCCCUCUACCUUUGGACCUUUAAAACCAAGGGAUGGCAUUUUAAUUUUUGGCAUUUCAAAACUGCCUUUUGAACCUUCAAUGUCCAUUUCAGGACCUUUGAUGUCAACGUUGGGAAGAUUCAAAUCGCCUUCAAUCUUGGAUGCAGACCCAUCCAAACCACCCUUAAUCUUUGGGCCUUUCAAGUUGAAGUCUAAAUCAGGCAUAGACAUUUUUGGUCCAGAAACAGAUGGAAGAUUGAAUUUUGGACCCUUGAUUUUUCCACUAGGACUGUCAAAUUCAACUUCAGGUCCUUUUAUGUUCAUUUUGGGAGCAUCAACAUCAAUAUUGGCUUUAGGGAGAUUUACAUCAAUAUCUGGGCCCUCUACCUUUGAACCUUUAAAUCCAAAGGAUGGCAUUUUAAUUUUUGGCAUUUCAAAACUGCCUUUUGAACCUUCUAUAUCCAUUUCAGGAGCUUUGAUGUCAACAUUGGGAAGAUUCAAAUCUCCCUCUAUCUUGGGUGCAGAGCCAUCCAAACCACCCUUGAUCUUUGGGCCCUUCAAGUUGAAGUCUACAUCAGGCAUAGACAUUUUUGGUCCAGAAAUGGAUGGAAGAUUGAAUUUUGGACCCUUGAUUUUUCCACUUGGACUGUCAAGUUCAACUUCAGGUCCUUUUAUAUUUAAUUUGGGAGCAUCAACAUCAAUAUUGGCUUCAGGGAGCUUCACAUCAAUUUCUGGGCCCUCUGCCUUUGGACCUUUAAAACCAAAUGAUGGCAUUUUGAAUUUUGGCAUUUCAAAACUUCCUUUUGAACCUUCAAUGUCCAUUUCAGGACCUUUGAUGUCAACGUUAGGAAGAUUCACAUCUCCUUCUAUCUUGGGUGCAGACACACCUAAACCACCCUUGAUCUUUGGGCCCUUCAUGUUGAAGUCUAUAUCAGGCAUAGACAUGUUUGGUCCUGAAAUGGAUGGAAGAUUGAAUUUUGGACCCUUGAUUUUCCCACUUGGACUAUCAAGUUCAACUUUAGGUCCUUUUAUGUCCAGUUUGGGAGCAUCAACAUCAACAUUGGCUUUAGGGAGAUUUACAUCAAUAUCUGGUCCGUCUACCUUUGGACCUUUAAAUCCAAAUGAUGGCAUUUUGAAUUUUGGCAUUUCAAAACUUCCUUUUGAACCUUCAAUGUCCAUUUCAGGACCUUUGAUGUCAACGUUAGGAAGAUUCACAUCUCCUUCUAUCUUGGGUGCAGACACACCUAAACCACCCUUGAUCUUUGGGCCCUUCAUGUUGAAGUCUAUAUCAGGCAUAGACAUGUUUGGUCCCGAAAUGGAUGGAAGAUUGAAUUUUGGACCCUUGAUUUUUCCACUUGGACUAUCAAGUUCAACUUUAGGUCCUUUUAUGUCCAGUUUGGGAGCAUCAACAUCAACAUUGGCUUUAGGGAGAUUUACAUCAAUAUCUGGGCCUUCUACCUUUGGACCUUUAAAUCCAAAUGAUGGCAUUUUGAAUUUUGGCAUUUCAAAACUUCCUUUUGAACCUUCAAUGUCCAUUUCAGGACCUUUGAUGUCAACGUUAGGAAGAUUCACAUCUCCCUCUAUCUUAGGUGCAGACAGAUCAACAUCACCCUUGAUCUUUGGACCUUUUAGGUUGAAGUCUACAUCAGGCAUAGACAGUUUUGGUCCAGAAAUGGAUGGAAGAUUGAAUUUUGGACCCUUGAUUUUUCCACUUGGACUGUCAAAUUCAACUUCAGGCCCUUUUAUAUCCAGUUUGGGAGCAUCAACAUCAAUAUUGGCUUUAGGGAAGUUCACAUCUAUAUUAGGGCCUUCUACCUUUGGACCUUUAAAACCAAAGGAUGGCAUUUUAACUUUUGGCAUUUCAAAACUUCCUUUAGGACCUUCUAUGUCCAUUUCAGGACCUUUGAUGUCACCUUUGGGAAGAUUUAAAUCUCCCUCUAUCUUAGGUGCCGACAGAUCAACAUCACCCUUAAUCUUUGGACCUUUUAGGUUGAAGUCGACAUCAGGCAUGGACAUUUUUGAUCCAAAAAAUGAUGGAAGUUUGAAUUUUGGACUCUUAAUUUUUCCACUUGGACUUGCAAUGUCAACCUUGGGACCUUUAAUGUCCAAUUCUGGUGCUUUUAAAUCUAUGUCAGCGGUAGGUAGCUUAACAUCCACAGCCGGACCUUCAACUUUUGGACCUUUGAUUCCAAACGUUGGCAUUUUGAAUUUGGGCAUUUCAAACCCACCCUUUGGGCCCUCUAUCUCAAUCUCAGGACCUUUGAUGUCAGGUUUUGGAAGUUUCAUAUCUGCUUCAAUAUUUGGUUUUGACAUAUCCAUUUCUCCUUAA